ACCGCCCGUCACACCAUGGGAGUGGGGUUCACCAGAAGCCGGUUGCCUAACCGCCAAGGAGGGCGCUGACCACGGUGAGCUUACAUGACUGGGGUG
rnacentral:rRNA from 1 species